rnacentral:lncRNA from 1 species
CCAUGCAACUGAAAGGAGAGAAGACCCUGUAAAGCCACCGAACUAGAAAAUGCAGCAAUGUAACACCCCAUCCAGAAGAAAAUUAAUAUCAACCUGGUAAAGGCACCAGCAAACAAGAAGAGCAAGAAAAAAGCACAGGGGGUAACAUAAUUCAGCCAAAUUCUCAGCAAAUCAUUGAAAGAUAAUAAAACCAAGCAACGUAGUCAAGCAUCCAUCAUACAAAACCAAGCAACAUGUCCUAAAUAAUAGAGUCUAAUAUGAAAAAGGCCAAAACAUACUCAAAUCCCA